GACGAACGCUGGCGGCGUGCUUAACACAUGCAAGUCGAGCGAUGAAGUUCCUUCGGGAAUGGAUUAGCGGCGGACGGGUGAGUAACACGUGGGUAACCUGCCUCAUAGAGAGGAAUAGCCUUUCGAAAGGGAGAUUAAUACCGCAUAAGAUUGUAGUAUCGCAUGAUACAGCAAUUAAAGGAGUAAUCCGCUAUGAGAUGGACCCGCGUCGCAUUAGCUAGUUGGUGAGGUAACGGCUCACCAAGGCGACGAUGCGUAGCCGACCUGAGAGGGUGAUCGGCCACAUUGGGACUGAGACACGGCCCAGACUCCUACGGGAGGCAGCAGUGGGGAAUAUUGCACAAUGGGGGAAACCCUGAUGCAGCAACGCCGCGUGAGUGAUGACGGUCUUCGGAUUGUAAAGCUCUGUCUUCAGGGACGAUAAUGACGGUACCUGAGGGGGAAGCCACGGCUAACUACGUGCCAGCCGCCGCGGUAAGAC
rnacentral:rRNA from 1 species